AAGAAUGUUUACCAUGCACUCACUAAAUCCAAUCUUAGGUAUGAUAUUGCCUUCUAGGGAAUUGGUUCCUACACUGAGAAAAAUGGCCUUACUACAAACUUUAGUUAAAGGUAUUCUAGUUGGUAUAACCACUUUACACGCAGCCCUAACCAAAUUCUCGUGUAACAAUAACGAAGCUGGUCUAGUUAAACGUUAUUUAUUACUGGCUACGCGGUAUGUAAGUUAACCCAACCAUUUUAUUAGUAAAUUUAUAAAAUUAACUAGAUUCCUAGUAAUGGUUACAGUAAAGUCAUGUUAAGCAAUUCUAUAUGCAAACUUAGUUAUAACGCACAAAUUACGUAGUAAAACUUAUUAAAAUAUCUAGUAACAGUAACUAAAUCCUUAUAGUGAGUCCAUGCAAUCAUGCAAAUUUUAUAUUUCCCGCGCAGUCAUUGUUGUCAAUUGUCAUUUCAGAAUUCCGCUUCCACCUGUCCGUCCGCCAUGAUUGAUAGAGGAUCAAAACGUGGUCGUGUCGGCGUUUUUGUUCCUUCUUUUCCUUUUAUUUCUCUUCUCGAGGAGUGUGCUGGUGUCGCAAUUGUUGUGCGUUAUGAAAUGUGAUCUUAAUUUUAUACUUUAAUUUGUAAUGGAUGAUAAUAAAUUUGAAAACCAUUUAAAGGCCUGCAGGCUGCAAGAUUUUUUUCAAGCUUUUCGAGAAUUUCAAUGAAUUAGAGCAAUGCAUCAAACAAAGGCAAGAAAAACUGAAACGCUAUGGAACAAUAUUACAGCCCCUUGCAGUAGUUGUAUAAGGUGCAGGGAAGGAAGAUUUUAACAUUGUGGUUGAGGUACAAAGUUGAUACAGCUCUAAGGACUCUUGAGUUAUUAUUUUAGCUUUUUAAUUCUAUGGAUAUUGACUAUCCUGCGGAAAGUAAACAUAUCGGGAUUUUUAUUCAACAGAUACUAUUUAAUUUAAAAUCCGAAAGGAAAAACCCAUCUGAGGCUGCUCUAGGAAACAUAAAAUAUUACUUACAACUAUAAUGGUUGGUACAAACCUAAAGAAGAAUAAACUUUUUGGAUUCAUUUAGUAAAAGUUUUUUUUUUCUAGACUAAUUUAACAAAUAAUAAUGCCAGUUUGCUUCAUCUGCAGCUCAUCUUUUUCAAAACUUAGUGCCCUUUUUACCUAUUUAUCUAUUGUUUAUAUUAAACAAAAAAAUUAUAGAUAUUGUAAAGAAAAUAGUUGCAUUAGACAUUUCACAAGCCAAAAAAGUUUUAAGAAACAUUUAAAGAUUCAUGAACCUCAACAUUUCAGUUCAAGUGUGGGCAGUUUAAGUAACCAAAAAAAAUAGGUUUAAAGAUCAGUUAAUUGGGAAUUAUCAUAAUAUUGACAUACUGAUUUUUUAAAAGAAUUUAUAUUAUCAUUAAUAAACAAUAAUGUUUCAUUCAUAACAAAGUUGUAUGCACAAAAUUCUUCUUGUCGUAGAGACAUUCAAAAUGUUGUCAGUUAUGUUACAGUAUUACUUAAUAACCCUAUGAACAUCUUUAAAAAAUUUGUAUUCACAGAACUUUGUGAGAAAUAUGGCAUAAGUGCAAAAAUUGUUUAGCAAAGUAAUAUCAGUUAAACUUGUAACUAUUCAAAGUAAGUUAUUUCACCAGAAUGAUAUUAUUGCAGUUGAGGAAUUGAGAGGGAUCACAUUUAAGAAAAUUAAAUUUAUUUUGAUUAUUGAGCUGAAGGAAAUAUAUUUUGUUUGUAUUAAUAUAGUUCUUUCAGAAUUUCAUGAGCAUUUGUUUUCUUUUGAAAUUAAAUUUAGUGAGGAAGAGAGUUGUUGUUGUUUGAUCAGUUAGCCAUUUUUGAUGCUUUAUGUGCAAUUAGCAGGAAUAAUAAGACUUAUUUGACGUACUGAUCAGCAAAAACAAUUUAUUCUUCUUUAUAUUUUGUAAUAAUUUGUAUUUUGUUGUUAUAUUUGUUUUAAAUGGGUUUCUUAAAUAAUACAUGAAAUUAAAGAAUUCCAACUUAAUAAGUAUAGUAUAUAUGCUAGUAUUUUCUUACCAUAUCAGGUAUAUGUAAAAGAAUAUUUGGACUAUUAUUUAUUUCAUGUUUUAACAGUGUAUACAUUAAUUAGUAAAAAACAAUUAAUUAAUUUGUUACUGAAUAAUUAAAAAUAAAAAGUUAUUAUUUUAAA